UAGGGAAUCUUCGGCAAUGGACGAAAGUCUGACCGAGCAACGCCGCGUGAGUGAUGAAGGGUUUCGGCUCGUAAAACUCUGUUGCCAAGGAAGAAGGAUGGGGAGAGUAACUGCUCUUCAUUUGACGGUACUUGAGAAGAAAGCCCCGGCUAACUACGUGCCAGCAGCCGCGGUAAUACGUAGGGGGCAAGCGUUGUCCGGAUUUAUUGGGCGUAAAGCGCGCGCAGGCGGUUGUUUAAGUCGGGUGUCUAAACCUUGGGCUCAACCUGGGGACGCAUCCGAAACUGGGCAACUGGAGUGUAGGAGAGGAAAGUGGAAUUCCACGUGUAGCGGUGAAAUGCGUAGAGAUGUGGAGGAACACCAGUGGCGAAGGCGACUUUCUGGCCUAUAACUGACGCUGAGGCGCGAAAGCGUGGGGAGCAAACA
rnacentral:rRNA from 1 species